rnacentral:rRNA from 1 species
UACGUAGGUGGCAAGCGUUAUCCGGAAUUAUUGGGCGUAAAGCGCGCGCAGGCGGUCUCUUAAGUCUGAUGUGAAAGCCCCCGGCUCAACCGGGGAGGGUCAUUGGAAACUGGGAGACUUGAGUGCAGAAGAGAAGAGUGGAAUUCCACGUGUAGCGGUGAAAUGCGUAGGGAUGUGGAGGAACACCAGUGGCGAAGGCGACUCUUUGGUCUGUAACUGACGCUGAGGCGCGAAAGCGUGGGGAGCAAACAGG